UUCGUGAUUUCCGGUGACGAAAUUAAUUCGGCGGUUAAUCUGAGGAUUAUUGAAGUGAUCAGAUUCACUUCGAACUGAUCCGUGGAAGAGGCAGGAGUGGCCCAAGUGUUCUCGCGCCGUGGUAGUUUGUGUAAGAUAGCGUAGCUUAUUAGUCGUGUGUGCAAAAGUUAAACGGUGUGUUAUCGUGUGUGCUGGUGGUUGAUAACGACAGAUCCGUGACCACGCCGCUACGACGCCCGACAACCCACACCGAACCAUCGAGGCCAUUCUUGACCCCACCAUCAGAUUGCGAGGUUCUCCCGGGGCACGCCGGAAGAGGGACGCGAUCGCCAAUCAACGCGCGCCCUAGGCAGGGCAUCACAGAAGAAGAAGAAGAAGA